GACGAACGCUGGCGGCGUGCUUAACACAUGCAAGUCGAGCGGUAAGGCCCUUUCGGGGUACACGAGCGGCGAACGGGUGAGUAACACGUGGGUGACCUGCCCUCAGCUCUGGGAUAAGCCUGGGAAACCGGGUCUAAUACUGGAUAUGACUCCAUGACGCAUGUUGUGGGGUGGAAAGCCUUGUGCGGCUGAGGAUGGGCCCGCGGCCUAUCAGCUUGUUGGUGGGGUGAUGGCCUACCAAGCGACGACGGGUAGCCGGCCUGAGAGGGCGACCGGUCACACUGGGACUGAGACACGGCCCAGACUCCUACGGGAGGCCAGCAGUGGGGAANCUUGCGCAAUGGGCGAAAGCCUGACGCAAGCGACGCCGCGUGAGGGAUGAC
rnacentral:rRNA from 1 species